AAAAAAGCAAACCCUGGGUUUCCGUGCCAACGUUUGACUGUCCGUCUUAUAUGAAUUUUUUUUAUAAUUAGUAUUUUCAUUGCUGUUAGAUGAUAAAACAUGAUUAAUAUUUUAUGUGUGACUUAUCUUUUUAAUUUUUUUUAAAUAAGACGGAUAGUCAAACGUUGGAUACGGAAACCAAGGUUUGUCUUUUUU
rnacentral:pre_miRNA from 1 species